UAGGGAAUCUUCGGCAAUGGGGGCAACCCUGACCGAGCAACGCCGCGUGAGUGAAGAAGGUUUUCGGAUCGUAAAGCUCUGUUGUAAGAGAAGAACGUGUGUGAGAGUGGAAAGUUCACACAGUGACGGUAACUUACCAGAAAGGGACGGCUAACUACGUGCCAGCAGCCGCGGUAAUACGUAGGUCCCGAGCGUUGUCCGGAUUUAUUGGGCGUAAAGCGAGCGCAGGCGGGUUAAUAAGUCUGAAGUUAAAGGCAGUGGCUUAACCAUUGGUCGCUUUGGAAACUGUUAAACUUGAGUGCAGAAGGGGAGAGUGGAAUUCCAUGUGUAGCGGUGAAAUGCGUAGAUAUAUGGAGGAACACAGGUGGAGAAAGCGGCUCUCUAGUCUGUAACUGACGCUGAGGCUCGAAAGCGUGGGGAGCAAACAGG
rnacentral:rRNA from 1 species